rnacentral:rRNA from 1 species
AGUGAACGCUGGCGGUAGGCCUAACACAUGCAAGUCGAACGGCAGCACAGUAAGAGCUUGCUCUUACGGGUGGCGAGUGGCGGACGGGUGAGGAAUACAUCGGAAUCUACUUUUUCGUGGGGGAUAAGGAGGGGAAACUUACGCUAAAACGCAAUAGGCCCAACGGUGAAAACCAGGGGUCCUUGGGACCUUGCCCGAUGAAAUAGCCCGAUGUCGGAUUAGCUAGUUGGCGGGGUAAGGGCCCACCAAGGCGACGAUCCGUAGCUGGUCUGAGAGGAUGAUCAGCCACACUGGAACUGAGACACGGUCCAGACUCCUACGGGAGGCAGCAGUGGGGAAUAUUGGACAAUGGGCGCAAGCCUGAUCCAGCCAUACCGCGUGGGUGAAGAAGGCCUUCGGGUUGUAAAGCCCUUUUGUUGGGAAAGAAAAGCAGCAGGUUAAUACCCCACUGUUCUGACGGUACCCAAAGAAUAAGCACCGGCUAACUUCGUG